UACGGAGGGUGCAAGCGUUGUUCGGAAUCAUUGGGCGUAAAGCGUGCGCAGGCGGUGAUGUAAGACAGGUGUGAAAUCCCCGGGCUUAACCUGGGAACUGCAUUUGUGACUGCAUCGCUGGAGUGCGGCAGAGGGGGAUGGAAUUCCGCGUGUAGCAGUGAAAUGCGUAGAUAUGCGGAGGAACACCGAUGGCGAAGGCAAUCCCCUGGGCCUGCACUGACGCUCAUGCACGAAAGCGUGGGGAGCAAACAGG
rnacentral:rRNA from 1 species